UAUCCAAGAUGCACCCCUGUGUGGCUGGGCCA
rnacentral:piRNA from 1 species